AUGCUCACCAGCAGCACAUAUACUAAAACUGGAACGAUACAGAGAAGAUUAGCAUGGCCUCUGCACAAGGAUGACACGCAAAUUCAUGAAACAUUCUAUAUUUUU
ensembl:snRNA U6 U6 spliceosomal RNA